CCUUGCAACCCAAUGGAGACUGAGGACCUUAGGGAAGAGGAAAGCUAAUGGAUGAGAAACUUCUCUCAGCGGCCAUUCCCUGGUAGUUCCUACCCCAGGCAGGUCACUUGGACCUCAGUGGGACACCAAAUCUUCAUGGUGUCAAAGACCAGAAGCUAACGCCGAGACAUUGCAAGAAAUUUUACUCUAGACUUAUACCCAAGGAAACAGGAUGCCUCUGCUUUCAUCAGUUAAAGAAUAUGAUCUCUCACCAGGAGUGGUGGAUCCCCAGUACUUCUCAAGUUGCUCCUUCAGCUCAAUUCCUGAUGACUGUGGCACAGAGGUCAGAAUAGUCUGUCUCUACUCAGCUCCUGCUUUACGAGUUGCAGGUUUCUUAUCGCAACAGAGGACUCACAAACCCACCUGAAUUUGUCCUCUGCUAAUAGCCCCUCACAGAGUACACUGUGAGCAUGGAGCAGAAACUAAGGAGUGGGAAUGGGAUGGGAAGAGUGAGGUUCCAUAGGUUGACGCUGGAAGUCUUCCAUGAUCAGCAUCAGAUGCUAGACAUCAGGUUGAAGCCAAGCCAUCAGCCGCCAAGUAACAGAUUCUGCUGGACCAGCGGGAUGUUUGACUCCUAGGACUGGCCUCUCUGUUCAGUCUGUGACAUCUAACCUCCCAAAUACAACUAGAGUGGUCUCUAGGUUGGUCA